UACGUAGGGUGCAAGCGUUGUCCGGAAUUAUUGGGCGUAAAGAGCUCGUAGGCGGUUUGUCGCGUCGAAUGUGAAAACCCGGGGCUCAACCCCGGGCCUGCAUUCGAUACGGGCAGACUAGGGUUCGGUAGGGGAGUCUGGAAUUCCUGGUGUAGCGGUGAAAUGCGCAGAUAUCAGGAGGAACACCGGUGGCGAAGGCGGGACUCUGGGCCGAUACUGACGCUGAGGAGCGAAAGCGUGGGGAGCGAACAGG
rnacentral:rRNA from 1 species